CGGUCAAAUUGGAAAAAUUCGUGGGACAAGGAAAGAGACUAGGAGGGAAACGAAAACAAACCAAAGGGUUAAGUUUGGGAUAAAAGAAAAGAGAAACAAAACAAAAUUGAUAAUGGCAUCUUUCCAUCUUGUUUGGAUAAUUCAUGAGGAAAAGAAGAGCAAAAUGUGUGUUAUUCUCUCCCUUGCUUGGGAAAGAUAAACGAUAAAUGACAGACGGGAAAAUAGUUUUAUUUUGUGCUUAUUAGGGAAAGGAAUAUGGUUUUUUCCCAUUUCUCUUCUCUAAAGAGGCAAUUAUGAAGGAGAGAGUCCAUUUCGUUACCUUUCCUACAAGGUUAUCCAUCUUUUCUGGUUCUCUACUCUCAGCACCAUCACUGCAGUGCAGAUGUUCCUCUUCUUUGGUGGUUCAAUCUAGUCGAGUUUGCAUUAUAGUCGAUCUUAUGAUGCCUGAUGAAAGAACAAUCGUGGGACAAAGCAACUAUUGAUUGCUGACUGUUUACGUAAUAUUUCUGAAAACACAUAUGAGAGGGCUGUGGACAUUCGACGGAAAUUACGCUUUAGCAAAGGGGAUUGUGGAAGCUGUUCACCACAUGCAUGGACGAAAAGUACUGUUGUUUUCCUCAUGUACAACGGAGAGUGCUAAUCUUUCAGUUUGAAAUUCAAAAGAUGAACCAUGCCCUGGUCCUUUCUUAAGGAAUGGUUUCUCUCAAGAGCUAGCCUUCAACUAGAAGUUGAGAGCCAUGUACAGCUCUUGGUGGCUCAGUGGAGGCAAUUGCUCGUGGCAUUGAACAUGACAGUAACAGGAAAAAUUUGUCAGAUGCUUUUGUUUCUCUAGCUUUGUUCUAUGGUAAGAGAUAUGAGUUUGAAGGUCAGAGUAGAAGCUUCUGAUGCCCUUGGGGAGAUAAGUAUGGUGUCUGAGGAGAUUCUGUUACAAAACUUAUCAACGAAGCUCCUUUCUGUCAUUGGCAAACUUACAUUGCAGCGGCAUGGUGUUUAGGAAAAGACCUAUUCUGGGGUGUGCUCUACAAAACCAUUUGAAAUACCAGCAUUGAAGUCUGCUGAAGUUUUUGUGCAUAGGCUGAGGAUGAAUUCAGUGUGGUACGAAGGUCAGCCUGUCAUUCCUUGCAUACCCUCAGCAUACUUUCGGCUGAUUUCUCCGGUGAAGCCUUAAAUUUAUUGGUCGACGUGCUCAGUGAUGAUUCAAUGGUUGUCCACUUACAGGCUUUGGAAACAUUGC